rnacentral:snRNA from 1 species
AUGGAAGGGAAAGAGCUGUCUUC